ACCUAACAACUAGCCUCUAUAACUAAAAACAACAUUAAACUAUAAAUACCCCCUAAAACAUCAUACUUCAUAUCAACAAAACAUUUUUCCCCCUAAGUAUGGGCGACAGAAAAAGGACCCGAGAGCAAUAAAAAGAGUACCGCAAGGGAAAGCUGAAAAAAAAAUGAAA
rnacentral:rRNA from 1 species